rnacentral:rRNA from 1 species
UGCCAGCCGCCGCGGUAAGACAGAGGGUGCGAACGUUGUUCGGAAUUACUGGGCGUAAAGCGCGUGUAGGCUGCUUGGAAAGUCGGGUGUGAAAGCCCUGGGCUCAACCCAGGAAGUGCACUCGAAACUACUAAGCUAGAGUACUGGAGAGGAAAGUGGAAUUCUCGGUGUAGAGGUGAAAUUCGUAGAUAUCGAGAGGAACACCGGUGGCGAAGGCGGCUUUCUGGACAGUUACUGACGCUGAGACGCGAAAGCGUGGGGAGCAAACAGGAUUAGAUA